rnacentral:tRNA from 1 species
ACCUGGGUGGCUCAGUCAGUUAAGCAUCUGACUUCGGCUCAGGUCAUGAUCUUGCAGCUGUGAGUUCAAGUCCCACAUCAGGCU